AAAACUUCGAGAGAAAGCAAAACACGAUUGCUUACGAAACAAAUGACUAGUGAGCACCCAUAUUCUCCACCCUGUGCAUGAUCUGCGGUAAAAACUGCAAAUGACGGAGAAGACAGUGAAGGAUUGCAAAGUAAUAGAAGGAUGAAAUGCACCAGAGUUCCCCAUGAAAGAUUCACAGAUGCACUAGGGACUUGAUAUCCUAUUUAGUUCUGUUAUUAAGAGUACUGAUUAAUCACUGGGCAAGGGGUCGACAUCGACAAGUUGAUCAUAUCCAGCUGUAUAUGUCAAUUAAUAGUGUGAGUAGGCACUGGUAUAUGCAUGACGUGCAGAAGAGGGAAAUAUGCUCUCGAUUGUGUAGCUAGGAGCAGAAGACGACCCAGACUUGGAGUCUUGUGUCCCGUCACUGUAAUUCAUUUUUUGCAGGGAUUCUCCUCAUCCUCAAGCCUAUAGACGAAUAAGUGCUGUUUCUUUUUGCACUUCUUCUUCUUCCUCUUGCUCAAUAUCUUGGUACAGCAGUACAGAAAGAUGAGUAAAUUACUUGCCAUAGCACUCCUGCUGCUGUCUCUGAUCAACCACAGAAUCUACUUGGCCACGGCAUGGGAUGAUAAAGAUUUCUUCAAAUACUGCCCACCGUCCAACUGCAGCCAACAUGGUCCAGAGGUCAGGUUUCCUUUCUGCCUUGAAUCCAGCAAUAAAUCGUCGUCAUCAUCAUCAUCAUGUGGAUGUGCCGGCAGAUCAAUCAGGAAGUUAGCAUGCUCUGGUCAAGACACCAUCCUAGUUCACCCAGUUCUUGGCCCAUACAAUGUCAGCGCCAUAGAUUACAUAUAUUCUUCCAUGAAGAUCAUCCCGCUUGUAGACCCCUGUAUGGUGCUACAGCAGAAGCUCGUCAUCUCCAGAAGCUCGUCAUCUCCACAGGUUGAUGUUAUCAACGAUGAGAAGCCAAGUCUUCAAUUUUUCGAAUGGACUUCUACUGCCCUAGUACGCUGUUCAAGAGAGUUCACACCUGGUGUUGCCGAUAGAAUUGCUGGCCCAGUCUCCUGCAUUAGCAACACAACCCACUUCUUGUAUUUGGUGGCUGGCUAUGAAGACAUGUCUCUUCUUCCGUUGGACUGCAAGGUCGUCCCACUCUCAGAUGGUGUCGGUGGCGGCCUGAUACCCAUGUAUGAGUUUGACGACCCAACGUCAGACAAGCUCUCAGUGUCCUUCAAGGAACGCACAGAGAGAAUGCUCAGUUUUGCUGAGACGACAGUGUAUUUGUUUAAUUACUUUUGCGCAGAAUGUGAACGCAGUGGGGGACGCUGCGCGUUCAGCUCACAAAGGGAUAGACGAUUCUGCAUGCCAGGCCCACAUGGUUCACGUAUCAAAGUCAUUGCAGCUACAUCAUCGGUGGCUGCAUUUGUUGUUCUUUUGUUGACGGUGGCCACUGUGCUUUAUCUUUCACUCAAGACAAGAUAUAAUGCGGAGAUACAUAUGAAGGUUGAAAUGUUUCUCAAGACAUAUGGAACAUCAAAACCGACAAGGUACACUUUCUCUGAAGUUAAGAAGAUGGCACGACGGUUUAAGGAAAAAGUAGGGCAGGGAGGAUUUGGAAGUGUGUACAAAGGCGAGCUACCAAAUGGAGUGCCUGUGGCAGUCAAGAUGCUAGAGAACUCUACAGGAGAGGGAGAAUCAUUCAUCAAUGAAGUUGCAACCAUCGGACUAAUCCACCAUGCCAAUAUUGUCCGCCUCCUGGGAUUUUGUUCCGAAGGAAUGAGACGGGCUCUUAUUUAUGAAUUCAUGCCUACGAGUCACUGGAGAAAUACAUAUUCUCUGGUGACUCUAAUAUUUUUCAGAAUCUUCUAGUACCAGAAAAGCUGCUAGAUAUUGCUUUAGGCAUCGCCCGAGGAAUGGAGUACUUGCAUCAAGGGUGCAACCAGCGCAUCCUCCACUUUGACAUCAAGCCUCACAAUAUCUUGCUGGACUUCAACUUCAAUCCAAAGAUCUCAGACUUCGGCCUUGCAAAGUUGUGUGCAAGGGACCAAAGCAUCGUCACCUUAACUGCAGCAAGAGGCACAAUGGGCUAUAUUGCACCAGAGCUAUAUUCUCGGAACUUUGGGGGAGUAUCGUACAAGUCAGACGUGUACAGUUUCGGAAUGCUGGUGCUAGAAAUGGUGAGCGGGAAGAGGAAUUCAGACCCAAGAAUCGGGAGCCAGGACGAUGUUUACCUCCCAGAGUGGAUCUACGAGAAAGUGAUUAAUGGGGAGGAGUUGGUGCUUACUUUGGAAAUGACUCAAGAAGAGAAAGAGAAGGUGAAGCAGCUGGCUAUGGUGGCACUGUGGUGCAUCCAGUGGAACCCGAGAAACCGUCUGUCGAUGACAAAGGUCGUUAACAUGCUAACAGGGAGGUUGCAGAGUCUGCAGAUGCCCCCGAAGCCUUUCGUCUCAUAUGAAAAUGAACCUAUGCCAUAAAUCAAAACAGGGACUACCAUACUCUACCAACAUUCAGGGACUGCCAUACUCUGUCAACACUGUGUUUCGAUACUUUUAGUCCAUAUUAGGUCUGGAGAUGUAUGAACAAUCACUGGUCACUACCAUGUAAUAUAGUACUCUACUGGUUAUUUGCAAGAUACACGAUUCACAGUUGGGCUUGUAUUUUAACAGCUGCUCCCAUAUUAUUUAUCUCCAAAAGUGGCGAAUAGCAUUGUGUGC
rnacentral:rRNA from 1 species